UACGGGGGGGGUAAGCGUUGUUCGGAAUUACUGGGCGUAAAGGGCUCGUAGGCGGCCAACUAAGUCAUACGUGAAAUCCCUCAGCUUAACUGGGGAACUGCGUGUGAUACUGGAUGGCUUGGAUUUGGGAGAGGGAUGCGGAAUUCCAGGUGUAGCGGUGAAAUGCGUAGAUAUCUGGAGGAAUACCGGUGGCGAAGGCGGCAUCCUGGACCGGCAUUGACGCUGAGUGAGCGAAAGCCAGGGGAGCAAACGGG
rnacentral:rRNA from 1 species